UCUGCUGCGUAUUUGGAAGCUCAUUGCAAACAUGCUAAAAUCAUGAACCUUUUUAAAAAAUCACAGUUAUCAGCUGAGUGGUCCAAUUCAUGUAUUGAAUUUCAAUAUUACCACAAACUACUGCUGUCUUCUUAAAAACAAGUCAUUGGAAAGACUGCCUUGUAGAGACUGUGGGGGUUCUCACAUCCAAAUCUUCCCAGCUUGAUAUAACAUUCCUCCUAUAUACUGGCCUGGGUAUUGUUUAUUUCCACUGGAAGUGCACAGUGUCUCAGUCUCAGGAUUCAAGUCAUUCCUCCAGUAAGGAACCUGCUGUAGGAAAGAUCUCACUUCUGGACUUAAAAGAAUCAGUUGGAACUUGAAGGUCAGUUUGAGAGCCCUGGACUCACUGGAGGACACUGAAACAACUCACAUGUUAAGAACUUUACUCCAAGUUGGCUACUGGCCAUAACAUCGCAAUUCUCUACCUACUUCAAACUGAACUUCUAAAUCUUGACUGUUGGGCCGAAGUAUGCAUUUCAACUUGCAAAUGGAGAUUAUGAAAGUAUGCAUUAUACAUUCAUGGCGUUAUCCUUACAUGAAAAUUAAGGCAGGAUUAAAAGGUAAAAUUUGAUUCAUUAAUAAACUUUUGAGUUUUGA